rnacentral:rRNA from 1 species
GCUUGUCUCAAAGAUUAAGCCAUGCAUGUCUUAGUGUAAAUAACUCUUAUGAAACUGCGAAUGGCUCAUUAAAUCAGUUAUCGUUUAUUUGAUGGUCCCUUACUACAUGGAUAACCGUAGUAAUUCUAGAGCUAAUACAUGCAUAAAACCCUAACUUCUGGAAAGGGUGUAUUUAUUAGAUGGAAACCAAUGCGGGGUAACCCGGAAUAUGGUGAUUCAUAAUAACUUUCGGAUCGAUUUAUCGAUGCAUCAUUCAAGUUUCUGCCCUAUCAGCUUUGGAUGGUAGGGUAUUGGCCUACCAUGGCUUUAACGGGUAACGGAGAAUUAGGGUUCGAUUCCGGAGAGGGAGCCUGAGAAACGGCUACCACAUCCAAGGAAGGCAGCAGG